AGAGAAAAAAACCAUUAACCUAUGUUGUUUGUUGUGGUUGUCGAGCAAUGAGCACAUUGAGAGGUUAAGAUUGUGUGUCACUGCAUCUUCAUUUUUAUUGUGUACAGUUUAGUUUUAUUGAAAUGAGUAGCUGCAUUGUUAAUACAUUUAUACAAUAGUAAUUUUAGGGUUUUGAAGACUAGUACAUUGUUAGCAAUGCCUUUAGUUGUAUUGACAGGAGUUCCUUGUAGUGGAAAAACAAGGAGAAGUAAAGAUAUUGAAAAUUACUUUAAAGUUGAAAAAGGAAAGGAAGUUCAUAUUGUAUCUGACAGCAUUAUUGGAUCAACUAAUAUCACUAAAAGUGAUCUUUGUUUUAAUGCUCAAAAGGAAAAAGAAAUAAGGUCAAUUUUAAAAGUCUGAAACUCUUAGGUUACUUGGACGAGACAAUGUUGUCAUUUUAGAUGCUGCAAAUUAUAUAAAAAGGUG